GGACGCAUAGUGUAAUGGAUAACACACACGCACACAGUCGACUACUGCUGAGAUCUGCGGUUCGAAUCCCAGUGUGUUCA